rnacentral:rRNA from 1 species
GAAAAAAAAAAACAUCAUAGCGGAGGAAAGAAACCAACUGGGAUUGCCCUAGUAACGGCGAGUGAAGCGGCAAUAGCUCAAAUUUGAAAUCUGGCUCCCUCUGGGGGUCCGAGUUGUAAUUUGCAGAGGGUGCUUUGGCGUCAGCGGCGGUCUAAGUUCCUUGGAACAGGACAUCGCAGAGGGUGAGAAUCCCGUUUGUGGUCGCAUGCUUUCGCCGUGUAAAGCCCCUUCGACGAGUCGAGUUGUUUGGGAAUGCAGCUCUAAAUGGGAGGUAAAUUUCUUCUAAAGCUAAAUACUGGCCAGAGACCGAUAGCGCACAAGUAGAGUGAUCGAAAGAUGAAAAGCACUUUGGAAAGAGAGUCAAACAGCACGUGAAAUUGUUGAAAGGGAAGCGCUUGCAGCCAGACUUGCCCGUAGUUGCUCACCCAGGCUUUUGCCCGGGGCAUUCUUCUGCGGGCAGGCCAGCAUCAGUUUGGGCGGUCGGAUAAAGGCCUCUGUCACGUAUCUUCCUUCGGGAUGACCUUAUAGGGGAGGCGACAUGCGACCAGCCCGGACUGAGGUCCGCGCUUCGGCUAGGAUGCUGGCGUAAUGGCUGUAAGCGGCCCGUCUUGAAACACGGACCAAGGAGUCUAACAUCUAUGCGAGUGUUUGGGUGUCAAGCCCGAGCGCGUAAUGAAAGUGAACGGAGGUGGGAACCCUUGGGUGCACCAUCGACCGAUCCUGAUGUCUUCGGAUGGAUUUGAGUAAGAGCAUAGCUGUUGGGACCCGAAAGAUGGUGAACUAUGCUUGAAUAGGGUGAAGCCAGAGGAAACUCUGGUGGAGGCUCGCAGCGGUUCUGACGUGCAAAUCGAUCGUCAAAUUUGGGCAUAGGGGCGAAAGACUAAUCGAACAUCAAGUGUC